GCCUAUGGUCAUACCACCCUGAUGAUAUGGCCUGACCGUGUCUGAUCUUGAGGCUAAGCAGGGUGGGGCCUGGUUAGUACUUGGAUGUGAGAUUGCCUGGAAAUAUCAGGUGCUAUAGGCU
rnacentral:rRNA from 1 species